rnacentral:rRNA from 1 species
UACGUAGGGGGCAAGCGUUGUCCGGAUUUAUUGGGCGUAAAGAGCGUGUAGGCGGUUCGGUAGGUCCGUUGUGAAAACUCGAGCUCAACCUCGAGACGCCGAUGGAAACCCUCGAACUAGAGUCCGGAAGAGGAGAAUGGAAUUCCUGGUGUAGCGGUGAAAUGCGCAGAUAUCAGGAAGAACACCCGUGGCUAAGGCGGUUCUCUAGUACGGUACUGACGCUGAGAC